CAGCAGCCACGGGAAUGCGAAGGGUGCAAGCGUUAAUCGGAAUUACUGGGCGUAAAGCGUGCGCAGGCGGUUGUGUAAGACAGGUGUGAAAUCCCCGGGCUUAACCUGGGAACUGCGCUUGUGACUGCACAGCUAGAGUAUGGCAGAGGGGGGUGGAAUUCCACGUGUAGCAGUGAAAUGCGUAGAGAUGUGGAGGAACACCGAUGGCGAAGGCAGCCCCCUGGGCCAAUACUGACGCUCGUGCACGAAAGCGCGGGGAGCAAACAGGAUUAGAUACCCCCGUAGUCCCUGUCUCUUAUAC
rnacentral:rRNA from 1 species